CCUACGGGCGGCAGCAGUAGGGAAUCUUCCACAAUGGGCGCAAGCCUGAUGGAGCAACACCGCGUGAGUGAAGACGGGUUUCGGCUCGUUAAGCUCUGUUGUUGGAGAAGAACGUGCGUGAGCGUAACUGUUCACGCAGUGACGGUAUCCAACCAGAAAGUCACGGCUAACUACGUGCCAGCAGCCGCGGUAAUACGUAGGUGGCAAGCAUUAUCCGGUUUUGUUGGGCGUAAAGCGAGCGCAGGCGGUUGCUUAGGUCUGAUGUGAAAGCCUUCGGCUUAACCGAAGAAGUGCAUCGGAAACCGGGCGACUUGAGUGCAGAAGAGGACAGUGGAACUCCAUGUGUAGCGGUGGAAUGCGUAGAUAUAUGGAAGAACACCAGUGGCGAAGGCGGCUGUCUGGUCUGCAACUGACGCUGAGGCUCGAAAGCAUGGGUAGCGAACAGGAUUAGAUACCCCAGUAGUC
rnacentral:rRNA from 1 species